ACAAUGAUACUUCUGCCCAGCCACAGAUUCAAGCAAUGGGGGCAGCUCGGAGAGAUCCUCGGAGGGGUGCAAUUCCCGUGG
rnacentral:ncRNA from 1 species